rnacentral:rRNA from 1 species
GGUUGCGAUCAUACCAGUACUAAUGCACCGGAUCCCAUCAGAACUCCGCAGUUAAGCGUGCUUGGGCGAGAGUAAUACUAGGAUGGGUGACCCCCUGGGAAGUCCUCGUGUUGCAACCC